rnacentral:rRNA from 1 species
CUUGGUCAUUUAGAGGAAGUAAAAGUCGUAACAAGGUUUCCGUAGGUGAACCUGCGGAAGGAUCAUUAUUGAAAUAAACCUGAUGGGUUGUUGCUGGUUCUCUAGGGAGCAUGUGCACACCUUGUCAUCUUUAUAUCUCCACCUGUGCACUUUUUGUAGACCUUUCAGGUCUAUGUUGCUUCAUUUACCCCAAUGUAUGUUAAUAGAAUGUUGUGCCUAUAUAAUAUAUACAACUUUCAGCAACGGAUCUCUUGGCUCUCGCAUCGAUGAAGAACGCAGCGAAAUGCGAUAAGUAAUGUGAAUUGCAGAAUUCAGUGAAUCAUCGAAUCUUUGAACGCACCUUGCGCUCCUUGGUAUUCCGAGGAGCAUGCCUGUUUGAGUGUCAUUAAUAUAUCAACCUUCUCUUUUUUGAGUUGUUUGGAUGUGGGGGUUUGCUGGCUUCUUAAAUGAUUCAGCUCCCCUGAAAUGCAUUAGCAGAACAACCUGUUCAUUGGCGUGAUAAUUAUCUAUGCUAUUGAAUGUGAGGGCAGUUCAGCUUUCUAACCGUCCUCGGACAAUUCAUCAUUAAUGUGACCUCAAAUCAGGUAGGACUACCCGCUGAACUUAAGCAUAUCAAUAAGCGGAGGA